GUACCAAGUGGAGCCACGGAGAAGGAGCAACAGAAGCAAAAAACAUCAGAAAAUGAAAGGUUUCAGAGAAUUUCUGAAAAAUCUGGAAGAGGUUCAGGACCUGUUCUCCCUUCUGGAAAGCCACCUGGAGAGACUCUCUGACCAGGGGGGCUU